GUCGAGAAUCUUUCACAAUGGGGGCAACCCUGAUGGAGCGACGCCGCGUGGAGGAUAAGGUCUUCGGAUUGUAAACUCCUGUCAUGCGUGAACAAGGUUGCUUGGUUAAUACCUGGGCAAAUUGAUGGUAACGCAAGAGGAAGAGACGGCUAACUCUGUGCCAGCAGCCGCGGUAAUACAGAGGUCUCAAGCGUUGUUCGGAAUCACUGGGCGUAAAGGGUGCGUAGGUGGCGUGGUAAGUCAGAUGUGAAAGCCCGGGGCUCAACCUCGGAACUGCAUCCGAUACUGCCAUGCUAGAGUACUGGAGAGGUGACUAGAAUUCUCGGUGUAGCAGGGAAAUGCGUAGAUAUCGAGAGGAAUACCAAAGGCGUAGGCAGGUCACUGGACAGUUACUGACACUGAGGCACGAAGGCCAGGGGAGCGAACGGGAUUAGAAACCCCAGUAGUCC
rnacentral:rRNA from 1 species